rnacentral:rRNA from 1 species
GACGAACGCUGGCGGCGUGCCUAAUACAUGCAAGUGAAGUUCAGUGGCGGACGGGUGAGUAAUGUAUGGGGACUGCCCGAUAGAGGGGGAUAACUCCUGGAAACGGUAGCUCAUACCGCAUACAAUUGGAUAACCUAUAGGGGAUUAGCUAGUAGGUGAGGUACUGGCUCCCCGAGGCGACGAUCCCUAGCUGGUCUGAGAGGAUGAUCAGCCAAACUGGGACUGAGACACGGCCCAGACUCCUACGGAGGCAGCAGUGGGGAAUAUUGCACAAUGGGCGCAAGCCUGAUGCAGCCAUGCCGCGUGUAUGAAGAAGGCCCUAGGGUUGUAAAGUACUUUCAGUCGGGAGGCGUUACCGACAGAAGAAGCACCGGCUAACUCCGUGCCAGCAGCCGCGGUAAUAC